GCUUUUUGUUGAAUUACGACAAUAUUAAAAAUAUUCCCUUUUUCUAAGACUCUCCUCUCUCUAUCCUUUCUCUCUCUCGCUGGCUUUUUGCGCCCCAAACUACUCAAGAAUCUACAUUCAUGUUCCAUCUCAGGUUCUAUGGUUGAUGCGCCUGAAAAAUUGGCAUCAGAGCCAACCGAUUUAGACCAAAGCCUUACCUCGCUUUUUUCGCAACUCACAAAGAAAACCACGAUGACACACGCCGCGCGAUUUCAAAACCUAGAAGAAAGGUAAACCUAGAAGAAAGGUCACUGUUACAUGAUUAAUCUACUGGGGAUUUGAGUGAUAGAAUCAUGAGGCUGGAGGAAACAGUGAAUCGAAGCAUGGCAAACACUCAAUUUGACAUUCUAGAACUCAGAUCGUGAGGCUGGAGGAAAUUUUAAUAUUGAAGAUUCAAUAUGGUAAUGUCAUGAAUUAUCCAUACGGGAAGUUUACCAGGUUAGUUGUUAUUAUAAAUUAUUUGAAUCGUUAUGAAUUAAUUGUUAUUUGAAUUUGUGUUUCACAAUUAGUUUCUGAUUGUUAAUUAGAGUAUUAAAUUAUUUAUUAUAACCAGUAACUUC